UUUCCUCCGGACAGAGCCUUAAAUCAAUCUCUUCAGUUUUCCUUGGAGGAAAAGUCUUUGGUGAACCUGUGAACCAGAUAUGACCGGUGAACCUGUGAACCAGAUAUGACCAUUGUCCUCCCAUGAAAAUGUUAGGUACACAAAAUACUUUCUAUAUGCUACUGUUAAGCCCAAAAUACUUUCUCAAAUUAUUGGAUAUGAUAGCAUUAAGACCUGCACUCCUGCAAUCAACAAUAAAAUCAUGCAGACACAUCACCUGUCGGGAAAUUUUUCGAAGAUAGCAGAAGCUGCCAGCUAUCCGCUAGGCAGGAGCUGGGGAAACAGCGGUAUCCCAACUACCAAUCCCAGUAAGUUACAAUGCAAGAUAUUGUUACUCCAGUGUCUUUUCUAGCCAAGUAUCUCUUACUUGUAUACCAUACUUGAAAGUAAAAUUCAAACUCGUGUGUCCAUAUAUUAAUACUGACCGAACAGGCCAAUGGUAUAUAUAAAAACACAGAUAGAACCAUAUGAAAACAUCCCCCUACAGAGUUGGGUAGCUUUCAACUUACAACAGAUGCUCUCUUUUGAUAUAUGUAUAAUAUGCUAAUGUCACAUGGCGUGAUACAACACGAUCAGAAUUAUUCAUCCGGUAUCUGGCUAGAUAUAUUAACAACCACAGUCUCGCACAUAAAUUCUGCAGUAGUCUAUGCCAUUUGAAGAGAUUCUUCGCCCUUGAGAGCGAAUAUCUUUACAAGGACAUCCUCGACAGCCUGUUCAAGUUUAUUUAGAACAAAUCAGUUCAGAAUUAUAUGUUUGGAAUUCAAGAACCUCAACAUCAGAUGUGUGCUGAAAGAGCAAAGGAAGCAAGUAUGACAGAUAUACAGAAACAAUUUGCAAAAAAAUAUAUUACCUUAUCAGGGGUACUUGCACCAGAAGUUACACCUAUUGUUAUAGGGCCUUCAGGUAACCAGUUUUCUUUUUCAACCAGUUCGCCGUGCUGGUAUAAUGGCUUUAAGUUAAUUAAAUGAACAACAUAAUGCAAACUGGAAAUCGUGAUUAAGUUGUUAGGAGACUUACCAUUAACUUAUACGCUAUCUUAUUUCCAGGACCUAUUCUCGUCUCAUUAUCCACCCAGUAGGAUGGUAUUUUAUAUUCCUCUGCAAUUUCUUGUAGGUGUGAUGUGUUGCUUGAAUUCCAGCCGCCAACAACUAACAUAAGAUCUAGCUUAUCUCCCACCAGCUUAUACAUAGCAUCUUGUCGCUCCUAAAGAAAUAUCAGCAUUAGGCACAAAAGGUAAGGUACUGCACUGGUAGCACUUAGCAGAUAGCUAGUUGUGAAUAUAUAUUUACACAUACAGGCUGAUGACAUUAAGAUGUAUAUAGUGCCUUCUAUCUGUAAAAUUUAUGUAAUUGGCAGUUCCACUAAUAAUUUCAGUACCGCACUACCGCCAAUUUGUCAAAUGGUACAAAAAAAUAACUUGGACUUGCAUGAAGUUGAUUAUUUUGUAUCCUGUGUGAAAAUAGACCAUUGACAUGUUGAUCACUUUGUCAAGGAAUGAUCUAGGUCAUUUACAGCAAUUGUUUAAAGAGAACUUAAGAUAAAUCCAUGUCAACAGUCUAAUGAGUCCUGCUGUAAGUUUG
rnacentral:lncRNA from 1 species